GGAUUGACACAUCGGUCGUGCCUUAAGGGGUAUGAACUGGUGUAGUCAAUUUCUCACCUUCUGGAGAACCACGAUGCCCUUAAUUGGGUGUCGCGGGGAACCAGGACUUUUACCUUGAAAAAAUUAGAGUGUUUAAAGCAGGCAUUUUUGCUCGAAUACAUUAGCAUGGAAUAAUAGAAUAGGACGGCAUGGUUCUAUUUUGUUGGUUUCUAGGAUCACCGUA
rnacentral:rRNA from 1 species